rnacentral:rRNA from 1 species
GAUUAACGCUGGCGGCAUGCCUAAUACAUGCAAGUUGAACGGGGAAGUAGCAAUACUUCUAGUAGCGAACGGGUGAGUAAUACAUGAGUAACCUGCCUCUUUGAUGGGGAUAACUGAUCGAAAGAUUAGCUAAUAACCGAAUAAACUGAUUGAUAUGCAUAUAUUAAUGAGGAAAGAUAAGAUCGCAAAGAGAUGGGCUCAUGGCGCAUUAGCUAGUUGAUGAGAUAACGGCCCACCAAGGCAACGAUGCGUAGCCGACCUGAGAGGGUGAACGGCCACACUGGAACUGAGACACGGUCCAG